rnacentral:rRNA from 1 species
GACGUAGGAUGCAAGCGUUGUCCGGAAUUAUUGGGCGUAAAGAGUUCGUAGGCGGUUACUUAAGUCUGGUGUUAAAGACGGGGGCUCAACUCCCGCAUGGCAUUGGAAACUGGGUGGCUAGAGUACGGUAGAGGUCUCGGGAAUUCCAGGUGUAGCGGUGAAAUGCGUAGAUAUCUGGAGGAACACCGGUGGCGAAAGCGCGAGACUGGGCCGUAACUGACGCUGAGGAACGAAAGCCAGGGGAGCGAAAGGG